GGUUAAGCGACUAAGCGUACACGGUGGAUGCCCUGGCAGUCAGAGGCGAUGAAGGGCGUGCUAAUCUGCGAUAAGCGCCGGUAAGGUGAUAUGAACCGUUAUAACCGGCGAUACCCGAAUGGGGAAACCCAGUGUGACUCGUCACACUAUCAUUAACUGAAUCCAUAGGUUAAUGAGGCGAACCGGGGGAACUGAAACAUCUAAGUACCCCGAGGAAAAGAAAUCAACCGAGAUUCCCCCAGUAGCGGCGAGCGAACGGGGAGGAGCCCAGAGCCUGAAUCAGCAUGUGUGUUAGUGGAAGCGUCUGGAAAGGCGCGCGAUACAGGGUGACAGCCCCGUACACAAAAGCGCAUGUGCUGUGAGCUCGAUGAGUAGGGCGGGACACGUGGUAUCCUGUCUGAAUAUGGGGGGACCAUCCUCCAAGGCUAAAUACUCCUGACUGACCGAUAGUGAACCAGUACCGUGAGGGAAAGGCGAAAAGAACCCCGGCGAGGGGAGUGAAAAAGAACCUGAAACCGUGUACGUACAAGCAGUGGGAGCACAGGUUUACCUGUGUGACUGCGUACCUUUUGUAUAAUGGGUCAGCGACUUAUAUUCUGUAGCAAGGUUAACCGUAUAGGGGAGCCGUAGGGAAACCGAGUCUUAACCGGGCGUUAAGUUGCAGGGUAUAGACCCGAAACCCGGUGAUCUAGCCAUGGGCAGGUUGAAGGUUGGGUAACACUAACUGGAGGACCGAACCGACUAAUGUUGAAAAAUUAGCGGAUGACCUGUGGCUGGGGGUGAAAGGCCAAUCAAACCGGGAGAUAGCUGGUUCUCCCCGAAAGCUAUUUAGGUAGCGCCUCGUGAAUUCAUCUCCGGGGGUAGAGCACUGUUUCGGCUAGGGGGCCAUCCCGGCUUACCAACCCGAUGCAAACUGCGAAUACCGGAGAAUGUUAUCACGGGAGACACACGGCGGGUGCUAACGUCCGUCGUGAAGAGGGAAACAACCCAGACCGCCAGCUAAGGUCCCAAAGUCAUGGUUAAGUGGGAAACGAUGUGGGAAGGCCCAGACAGCCAGGAUGUUGGCUUAGAAGCAGCCAUCAUUUAAAGAAAGCGUAAUAGCUCACUGGUCGAGUCGGCCUGCGCGGAAGAUGUAACGGGGCUAAACCAUGCACCGAAGCUGCGGCAGCGACACUGUGUGUUGUUGGGUAGGGGAGCGUUCUGUAAGCCUGUGAAGGUGUGUCGUGAGGCAUGCUGGAGGUAUCAGAAGUGCGAAUGCUGACAUAAGUAACGAUAAAGCGGGUGAAAAGCCCGCUCGCCGGAAGACCAAGGGUUCCUGUCCAACGUUAAUCGGGGCAGGGUGAGUCGACCCCUAAGGCGAGGCCGAAAGGCGUAGUCGAUGGGAAACGGGUUAAUAUUCCCGUACUUGGUGUUACUGCGAAGGGGGGACGGAGAAGGCUAUGUUGGCCGGGCGACGGUUGUCCCGGUUUAAGCGUGUAGGUGUGUGUUCCAGGUAAAUCCGGUUCACUUUAACACUGAGGCGUGACGACGAGGCACUACGGUGCUGAAGCAACAAAUGCCCUGCUUCCAGGAAAAGCCUCUAAGCAUCAGGUAACAUCAAAUCGUACCCCAAACCGACACAGGUGGUCAGGUAGAGAAUACCAAGGCGCUUGAGAGAACUCGGGUGAAGGAACUAGGCAAAAUGGUGCCGUAACUUCGGGAGAAGGCACGCUGACACGUAGGUGAAGUGAUUUACUCACGGAGCUGAAGUCAGUCGAAGAUACCAGCUGGCUGCAACUGUUUAUUAAAAACACAGCACUGUGCAAACACGAAAGUGGACGUAUACGGUGUGACGCCUGCCCGGUGCCGGAAGGUUAAUUGAUGGGGUCAGCGCAAGCGAAGCUCCUGAUCGAAGCCCCGGUAAACGGCGGCCGUAACUAUAACGGUCCUAAGGUAGCGAAAUUCCUUGUCGGGUAAGUUCCGACCUGCACGAAUGGCGUAAUGAUGGCCAGGCUGUCUCCACCCGAGACUCAGUGAAAUUGAACUCGCUGUGAAGAUGCAGUGUACCCGCGGCAAGACGGAAAGACCCCGUGAACCUUUACUAUAGCUUGACACUGAACAUUGAGCCUUGAUGUGUAGGAUAGGUGGGAGGCUUUGAAGUGUGGACGCCAGUCUGCAUGGAGCCGACCUUGAAAUACCACCCUUUAAUGUUUGAUGUUCUAACGUGGACCCGUGAUCCGGGUUGCGGACAGUGUCUGGUGGGUAGUUUGACUGGGGCGGUCUCCUCCUAAAGAGUAACGGAGGAGCACGAAGGUUGGCUAAUCCUGGUCGGACAUCAGGAGGUUAGUGCAAUGGCAUAAGCCAGCUUGACUGCGAGCGUGACGGCGCGAGCAGGUGCGAAAGCAGGUCAUAGUGAUCCGGUGGUUCUGAAUGGAAGGGCCAUCGCUCAACGGAUAAAAGGUACUCCGGGGAUAACAGGCUGAUACCGCCCAAGAGUUCAUAUCGACGGCGGUGUUUGGCACCUCGAUGUCGGCUCAUCACAUCCUGGGGCUGAAGUAGGUCCCAAGGGUAUGGCUGUUCGCCAUUUAAAGUGGUACGCGAGCUGGGUUUAGAACGUCGUGAGACAGUUCGGUCCCUAUCUGCCGUGGGCGCUGGAGAACUGAGGGGGGCUGCUCCUAGUACGAGAGGACCGGAGUGGACGCAUCACUGGUGUUCGGGUUGUCAUGCCAAUGGCACUGCCCGGUAGCUAAAUGCGGAAGAGAUAAGUGCUGAAAGCAUCUAAGCACGAAACUUGCCCCGAGAUGAGUUCUCCCUGAGACUUAGAGUCUCCUGAAGGAACGUUGAAGACGACGACGUUGAUAGGCCGGGUGUGUAAGCGCAGCGAUGCGUUGAGCUAACCGGUACUAAUGAACCGUGAGGCUUAACCUU
rnacentral:rRNA from 1 species